UGAGGAAUAUUGGUCAAUGGGCGCAAGCCUGAACCAGCCAUCCCGCGUCCAGGAAGACGGCCCUAUGGGUUGUAAACUGCUUUUCCAGGGGGAGAAUUUUUCUGUCGUGACAGGAAUUGACGGUACCCUGGGAAUAAGCAUCGGCUAACUCCGUGCCAGCAGCCGCGGUAAUACAGAGGAUGCGAGCGUUAUCCGGAUUUAUUGGGUUUAAAGGGUGCGUAGGCGGAUUGAUAAGUCAGUGGUGAAAACCUGCAGCUUAACUGUAGACUUGCCGUUGAUACUGUCAGUCGUGAGUGUGGUCAAGGUAGGCGGAAUGUGUAAUGUAGCGGUGAAAUGCUUAGAUAUUACACAGAACACCGAUUGCGAAGGCAGCUUACUUGGCCAUUACUGACGCUGAUGCACGAAAGCGUGGGGAUCGAACAG
rnacentral:rRNA from 1 species